AGAAUUGCUCAAGAAAAACUAAAAGAAACUGCAGAAAAGCAACUUCAGGUUUAUGUUGAAAAAGUUAAACAGCUAGAAGCAACUCUGUCGCAAUCUAAGAGUGCAAAUGAUGCAGAAAAUCUGUUGUGUCGAAUAGAUAUACUUAG
rnacentral:lncRNA from 1 species